rnacentral:tRNA from 1 species
AGCCCCGUGGUGUAGCGGUCAAGCAUAGGGGAUUUUGGAUCCUCUGACCCAGGUUCGAAAUCUGGGAUUUUUCGGCAUGCCGAAAAUCCAGGAGGAUUUUCAAGCACAAUGAGGGUUCUACGAACCCUCGGAACGAUGGAAAAGACUCGGCGAAAGUCCUGGCGGGGCUA